AACGUUCCUCCUUGAUGGGAUGAGGAAGCAAGAAAAAGCACAUCUGGAGCCCAUGGGCCAAGUUUAGCAGCAGUCAGCCCUGAGCCAACGUUGUCUGAGGGUUUGGCCCAGUUGGGAAAACCCAGGAGAGCCUGAGAUGAUGAACAGGCAGCAGCCAGGGAGCGUCGUGCGAGCUGCUGGCUCAGCCCGGGACUGGGGGCAGGACCCAGGGGGCUCUCCCUUCUCUCACCACUUUCUUUCAAGGCCCUUCAUUCGCUGCUCACUGGUUUGUACUUAGAAAGGCAGUGGGACUAUGUCAAGAGCUGGUCCCUACAGGCAAAUCCCAGCUCCGCCCUCCUGGCCAUCUGAUCACAGCAAGUAACCUCACCGCUCUCCGUGGCCUCACUGCCGCUGACCAAACAGGGACUUUGCACGUGCUGUGCCGAGCGCAGUUUCAGCACUCGCGACCCAGCAGCUUCCAGUUCUUGUCAGUUCCCUUAGGAGACCAAGACCCACCUGGGCUCUCGGAGGACGCCCCCCCCACCCCCCCCAUUUGGGCCUCCUUGUCCCUGUGCUGUCCUCACCCUGCCGUGUGUACCCAGGCUGGUCCUGGCAGCAGUAGGAUGAAGAAAGCUCUUACCCAUAAAUGUCCUCUGCGAGCCUCUGAAUCAUCGCUCUCGAAACUUUUGUCUUGGAAUUUGUUCUGUUGCCCCCAGUUGAGUGUGUCAAAUAGGGAGGCCCAAGGCUGGGGGUGGGGGGUGGUGGCGGCUGUCGAACGUCACUUCCCUGGGAACAGCUCCCGAGUUCAGCUGGCUCACACGUGGAUCAGAUUUGGGCUCAACAUCCUCUGCCAGGGAAAAUAGAAGCCCUCAGAAAAUUAGAAAGAAAUAGCAAGAGGCUUCUCCUCAGUCACAGUGAGUCACCAACAGAAACAUGAACAGAGGCCUGUGGGGAGCUGGGCUCUGGGGUGGGGUGGGCAGCAAGUUGGGGGCCCCCCUGCCCCCUCCCACCCAAGAGUCUGGGCAGGUGGAGGGGGGCAGUGCUUCCCUCGGUGGGCAGGGCUGGGACUCCACUUAGCUUUAAGACCUGCACUCAGGAAAUCCCGCAGACCUAGGCCCAUCAGGACCUGUCAUCUAAACCAAACUCCCCAAGGGCAACAGCCCAGGCCGGGAAGAGGCAGGCCAAGAGGCGGGAAGCUUGUGGCCUCCUGUGGCUGCCUUUCACCCUUCUGGGAUCCAGGCCCCCUGCCAGCGGGUGGGGUGUCUGUACCCACGUCCAAGGGCUCUCCUGAGCUAGCCUGGGAGUCUGCUGGACGUCCUGGGUCCCCUCACCUCCAGCUACCUAAGAGAAGGCUGGGCCUUUCCCUCCUACGGAGCGAGGCCUACCCUAGGGGCUGCAGCAGGACUAGGCUUACAGGCAGAGACAAGGCAACAUCUCACCCUGGUGGAUCUUCCCUUGCUGCUUCCAGAGUUGGGGAGCAGAGUUCUUGGGGGAGCCUGACAUGGGCUGGGUGUGUGUGUGUGUGUGUGGAGUUUUCCUGCAGCCUUGUGAGGGUCAGGCUGGUGGAGCCCACAGAUGCAAGGGUGGGGAGAGGAGGGGGCGGGGCCUGCACUCUCACUUCUGCCCAGGCUGGGGUCGGUCCGGUUUAGCUCACGGGCCAAGAGCUUACCUCUGAGGGCCAUUGAGAAAGAACCAUAUGCCAGGAGGGCUGCCUGCCAGGGUGGGAGGUCCCCAGGAGAGACACCUGGCUGGGGGCCGAGGUGCCCGUGCUUGGGGUCAGCAGCAGGGGCAUUGCAGAGGUCUGCAGAGACCCAUCUGGGAGGAAUGGUGCAGUGCAGAGGCCCUGCGGACUGCAGCGAAGGGCGGGGUGCGGGGGGCGAUGGCGGUGGGGGAAUGUGGACAUGUAGGCAAAGCUGUCACAUGGGGGCUUUGCCCCGGUCAGUAAUGCCCUCAGCGGGGCAGGGGUGGGCGGGGAGCCAGAAGCUCCCACGUUGGGAAGGGGGUGAGCAGGUGGAACGGAAAUGGAACCCACCCUCUUCCCACUAUGGUGGGGUCAGUCCCCCAGGGAUGAGAAAUCGAAGCUUGGCUGUAGGUCAGGCUUUGCCUUGUUAAUGCUUUCCGAUGCGACAGCUUCCUGCAUGAAAAGAAGAACCCAGGAUGGACCUGGAGCAGCAGGGGGAGGGGCUCUCCUGCUUCCUUCUGCCCAUCCUAGAAGCCACACUUAAAACUAUGACCUUGAAUAACUCGGUUUUCUCAGGCUGUAAGUUGGGGUGGGGGGGAAUGGCUCCAUGACCACUAGCAGUGCCCCGCCCCUGUUAGGAAGGGUCUCCCAUUCAGACAGGCCUGGUCAAGCAACGUUAGCCUCUUGUCUUUGCAGAUCAGACAGUUUGGAUCUCGAGGCAACUCUGGCUGGAGCCUUGGGAGGCAUGAGGGUCAGUCUCAUCCCUGCGUGGGCCCCAGGUCUCCACGGAGCUUUCAACAAGGUCCAGCCCUGAGUGUGGCCCAGAGACCCAGCAAUCAUGGAGGUAUCCUUCCUCUGAAGAUGUUCAGGCCAGAGGGAACAGGAUGUGAGUGGUUGGACCUCCAGAACAGAGGGCACAGGGGAGGGCAUCGAACCCCGGGAAGUGGAGUCCUGCCCUGUGGGAGAAAGGGAAGGGGGAUCCCGGCGGGGGAGACCCUGUCUCCCGGGCUCAGACUCCUCAAGUCAGUCGCCUGCAUCUCAGGUCCCAGCACGUGGACAGUGGGCUGGGCAGUGAUGGUGCUUUUAAUGCUUGUAGAGUAUAUGCGCCAUCUUGCCCCGUUUUCAAGUAAGGAAACUUGGGCCCAGGGAGAAGUGAUGUGUCCAGGUCACAGCAUGUCAGUGAUGGCGUGUCUAUGAGGCCAGACUGCAUGCUCUUUUCCAUCCGGUUUACACAGCAUCCGGCAUCGGCCCACCAGGCCGCGGGGCUACCAGCCCCUCCUGCUGAGGCCCGAGUAUCACCAGGAGCCACCCUGGUGCCUCAGCCUGGGCAGAGGUGGGAAACUCACCUGCCAAAAGGACCAGUGUGUCCCACUUCUGACUGCGGCAGCCGCAGAACACUGGGGCUGGGAGCAGUAGCGGCAGAGCUCCUCCAAGGCUCCCGCGGCCUCCAAGGCAGCAGCUCAGACCCGGCCCAGCUGGCCCAAAUGAGUGUGUGCGGUGAGGUGGGGGUCGGAGUUGUAACUGGAAGGCUCUGGAAGCCGGGCCUCAGGACAGCAGGCCCUGGGAUCAGGCGCCAGCCCUCCCAGUCUCCUGGAGUCCUGAGUUGGCCUCGAGGGACCAAGCAAGAAGGACCCAGGCCCAUCCGGUCCCUCUGCCCCUCCCUCUCAGGGGAGGGCCCUGGAAACGCCCUCUUGUCUACAGUUUGGACAACACCGGGGGUAAGUCUGCCCGGGCUCACCAGGAGGGUGGUUCCCAGAGCCAUGGGACCUGGGGUCUCCCAGACAGUGUCUAGCUGUCCGCACAACUGGCAGAAUGAUUUUCUUGGUUUCCAACAACUUGAAAACCACAUGUGAUUUUCCAUAGUCUGGUGCCCCCGCCCAGCUCCCCAGGCUUGGACUGCUGAGUGAGCAGAGUUCACCGGAAUUCCUUCCACUCACCGCAGGACCCCGCCCCCGGGAGACUGGGGGGUCACUGCAGCCGCAGGGGGGCUGAUGGGCUGAGGGGCGGGAGGCGGGCUUCCAGGGCCUGAGUAAUUCUGCAGCCCGCAGACUGGGAUGAGGACAAGGGCUGCGUGUGGCAGUGUCAUGUGACAAUCAGGCAGGGUUGUCCGGUUCCAAACAGGCUCUACUGGAAAAAAGUAUGCUCAGCAUUCCUCCCACCUUCAUCUAAAUUGACUCCGAUGGAUCGAAGAUGUAGAUGUUGAAAGAGAAGCCAUCAAAGUCGUAAAAGAAAACAUAGAAAUCUGUGCUUAUAACCUUCGUGGGGGAAGUCUUUCUAAGCAGAAACUGUAGAAGGAUGGAGAAUUUUGGUUGCAUAAAAGCGCUAGCUUUCUGUUCAGAAUAUCCUGAAAAUGAAAUUAACAGGCAAACAGAACACUGGAAAUAGGUCCACAAGCCCUAGGUCAGAAAGCGAACAUUUUAGGAGCUGCCCGUGGCCUCAGAGCCUCUCUCCAAGCCUCAGUUUCUCUCCUCCUUAAAAUGGGAUAAUACUGACAGUAUCGCUCCUUGUAAAAAGGGCACAAGGUUUCACUGAGAUAAAUCUAGAAAGCUGUGCCUGAAAAAUAGUAAUUCUUUGAGAAAGGGAAAACAUUCUUUACAUUUUUAAAGCUAAUUUGACCUUGUUUCCAUUUUUAAAAGUGAGCCCCGAGAUAGAGGCCAAUUCACAAAAGAAGCAUAAGUGGGGACUUCCGUAGUGGUCCAGUGGUUAAGACUCCACGCUUCCGCUGCAGGGGGCACAGGUUCGAUCCCUGAUCGGGGAACUAAGAUCCCGCAUGCCACUAAUAAACAUAUGCAAAAAUGUUGACCUCAUGAAAAAUUAUACAAAUGCUAAUUAAAAUACACUGAGUAGUACUUUUCCAAUAUCAAAUUCCCAAAGAUUAAAAUCCUCCUGGUGGGCUUCCCUGGUGACGCAGUGGUUAAGAAUCCGCCUGUCAAUGCAGGGGACGCGGGUUCGAGCCCUGGUCCGGGAAGAUCCCACAUGCCGUGGAGCAACUAAACUCAUGUGCCACAACUACUGAGCCUGCGCUCUAGAAUCCGCGAGCCACAGCUACUGAAGCCUGUGCACCUAGAGCCCGUGCUCCGCAACAAGAGAAGCGACUGCAAUGAGAAGCCCGCGCACCGCAACGAAGAGGGGCCCCCACUCACCGCAACUAGAGAAAGCUCGUGCACAGCAACGAAGACCCAACACAGCCAAAAAUAAAAAUAAAUAAAUUUAUUUUAAAAAAAAACCCUCCUGGUGGAGGCGGGUACCAGGAAAUCACUGUCUGAGCACUGUCCUGCAGGACCAUUUGGCUGCAGAGAUCAGAAACCCCACUGUGAUGAGUAAUUUUGUGUGUCCCCUGACUGGGCUAAGGGAUGCCCAGAUCAACGGUGAAACAUUAUUUCUGGGUGUUUCCGUGAGGCUGUUUCCGAAAAAGAGUCACUGAUCUGAAUCAGUGGACUGAGAAAAGCAGAUGGCCCUCCCCAGUGUGGGUAGCCCCAAUCUCUGCUUGAGCUGGGACGUCCAUUUCCUGCCCUCGGACAUCAGCUCUCUCGGUUCUCAGGCCUUUGGGUUUGCACUGAACUGCACGACUGGCUCCCCUGGGCCUCCAGCUUGCAGACGGCAGAUGGCAGCCUCCAUAAUCAUGUGAAUCAAUCCUUCCUAAUAAGUCUCUCUCUAUACAUGUACAUGUAUCCUGCGGCUUCUGUUUCUCUGGGGAACCCUGACUGAUACGCUCUCUAAAGCAGCUGAGCCCUGACAGGCGAUCCCACAGGUGCCUGGUGGGACAGAGGGCCACCACGUUCCCCUGCAGCCCAGCCUUCACUGUUCACCCAGACCCCUCCAUACACCAGAACCUCAGCCUGGACUUCAGCUCGAUGCAUUUCCCAGAGGGGACUUGGACCAGGCAACUGGACUCCACCCUAUACCUUAUUCCAAUCAGCUGCUGGAGGGGUCGGCCGUGUGCCCAGGUAUGGCUGCACCGGCCACCUCCCCUGGAGCCAGAAGAGGACCCAAGGCCUGGGUAGGCCCUGGGCUCAUCUUCUCGGGAAACUGGACGCCAGCCUCAUAAAUGAGCAUGUGCCCCAACAUCUGCACCCCUCUGCCACUCCAAGGACAGAUUUUCCCGUCCUGAAGUGCAUUGUGACCUCAAGGUGGGUGAAGCAUGUGACUCUGGAGGUGGCGAGCCUGGGAUGUCCAUCCUGUCCACGGGGACUUUGGGGAAUGAGGUGCUGCAUUAGCCCCUGAGAAGGCCUCCCCUGCCCCACCCCCCACCCCGCCCUCAGACUAAUACAACACGUUCCUGAUUUAGUGGGAGGAAAUCCCACCGACAGGUGGGCACGUCCUGCCUCAGGGGACGUAUUUGCUGUUCCUUCUGCCUGCAGUGUCCUUCCCAGCUUCUCACUGAAGCUUCCCCAGCUGCCCUUCAUAAAACUUCAGCCCUCUCCUAUAUCUGCCAAAACAAACCAUCCCACUCCCCUACUUUAUUUCUGACAUAUUGACCCAUUGGGCGAUACUGAUGGUGCUAAUGGCUCCAGUUAAGUGGCCUCCCUGUGCCCAUGCCCUUUGCCCUGUGCCUUGUAACCUUGUAGGCCCCUCCUACUCUGACUACAGGCUUGGCCACGUGAUGGCUUUGGCCAGUUGGACAGGAACAAACUUGGUCCAAGGAGAGGCUUGAAAAAACACUUGAAGCAUCCUCUCUCCCCUUCCCCACAACCUUCCAGAACGAUGAGAGCACACCUGGGCUGUCCUGCUGGAGGACAAGACCACAGGGAACAAAGCUGAGACCAUGCAAAACAGGCUGCCACAGCCAGUGGGACACAAGAGGGAGACCAGCGAGACCAGCCAAGCUGGGCUCAGAUGGGCAGAGCUGCCCAGGCAGCUGGCAGGCAGACCUGAGCCAGAAACCCAGCCAACGAAAACAAGACGCGCUGACCAGCUCUGUAGGAGGAAGGGGACCCCUAGCAGAGCUCCUAAAUCCCUUGGAAUCUACUGGGUGGAAGGAGGAUCUUUUGCUCCAAUUCUGUGACUCUAAGUGGGUUCCUGGAUGGCUUCAGGAUCAGGGCUGGUCACCAGAAAGAUCAAGCCAUGAUAAGGAGCUUGGAACUUUCAGCCCAGCUGGAGAUGGAGUUAAUGAUCGAUCAUGCCUGUGUGAUGAAGCUGGCUAUAUAAAAGUCCCUAAAGAUGGGGUUCAGAGAGCUCGUGGCUGGUGAAUACAUCCAUAUGAUGGGGGCUCACUCCAGCUCCACGGACACAGAAGCUCCUGUGCUCAGGGCCCUUCUGGACCUUGCCCUGUCUAUUUCUUCAUCUAGCGGUUCACUCAUAUCCUUCAAUAUCCUUUGUAAUAAGCUGGUUAUCUAGUAGGUAAACUGUUUUCCUGAGUCCCGUGAGCUGUUCUAACAAAAUAUCAAAUUGGAGAAAGGGGCUCAUGGGAACCCCAGCUUAUGGCCAGUUGGUCAGAAGCACAGGUGACAACCUGGACUCAAUGUUGGCAUCUGAAGUGGAGGCGGGGCCAGGCGGGUCUGCACUAACUCUGGUCAGUGUCAGAAUUGGGUUGAACUUAGGACACCCAGCUGGUGCUGGAGAAUUGCUGGGUGUGGAAAACCCACACAUCUAGUGUCAGAAGUGUCACGUGAGAAUAAAGAAGAACACAGGGGUGUUUUUCCAAGGUAGCACCCCAAGGCUGCUGUUCACCAGCUGUGCAAACUCCAGCAAGUCACUUGACCUCUCUGUGCCUCUCCCUCCUUCCCAGCAAGAUGGGAACAUGGAUGUCAUCCACUGACAGGAAUGUCCUGGGCCUCAAUGAGCUGACACGUGUAAAGUGCUUAGAACUGCUCCUGGCAGAGAGCGCUGCUCUCAUUUUAAGUGCACAUGCUUAAAAAAAACAUUUUAUUAUUGAAAUUUCAAACAUAUCCAGAAGUGGAGAGGUGAUAUGCCGAACUUUCCGCCUCUGUCAUCAAAGUUCUCAACUCAAGGCCCAUCUUGUUUCAUCUGUGUCCCACCCUUUCCUCCGCCUCGACAUGAUUUUGAAGCAAAUCCCAGACAUCAUAUGAUUUCACCAGGAAAUAUUUUACUGUGUACUUCUAAAUGAAAGGACUCCCUCUGCUUGCCUCUCAAUCUCUCUCUCUCUCUCUCUCUUUCUCUCUCUCUCUCUCUCUCGCUCCACCAUAACCUAUGUAAUGAGUGAUAACUCUCAACCACGUUUCUUUUUUCUUUUUAAAUUAAUUAAUUAAUUAAUUAAUUUUUUGCUCCUUUGGCUCUUUGCUGCUGCGCGAGGGCUUUCUCUAGUUGCAGCGAGCGGGGGCUACUCUUCGUUGCGGUGCGUGGGCUUCUCAUUGCGGUGGCUUCUCUUAUUGGGGAGCAUGGGCUCUAGGCGCGCGGGCUUCAGUAGUUGUGGCACGUGGGCUCAGUAGUUGUGGCUUCCGGGCUCUACAGCGCAGGCUCAGUUGUUGUGGCGCACGGGCUUAGGUGCUCCGCGGCAUGUGGGAUCUUCCCAGACGAGGGCUUGAAGCCACGUGCCCUGCGUUGGCAGGUGGAUUCUUAAUCACGGGGCCACCAGGGAAGUCCCCCCCCCCCGGCCCUGACUUUAGUUCUCUCCAUGGCGCUUUGCCCUUCUCCCAUCCUCUCAGUUAUCUGUGGCUGUGUGACCAAAUGCCCUAAAGCUGAUUUGUCUUACAGCAGCGGUGCUACAUCAUUCCUUACCAUUCUGUGAGCCAUUGCAUGGGGGAGGAGCCGGCUGACGCCACGUGCAGGAGUCUGCUCACAGAAUCAUGAGGAAUGAUCUAGCGCCGCUGCUUUAAGACGUCAGCCGGAAGCUGGUGUCCCGAGGGCUCCUGGUUCUCUGUUCACAUGGUUCCCAGCACCCACAGUGCAGCCUGAACUUCUUUCCGUGACAGUUGCCUUCCAAGAGGGCAGAAAUGGAAGCUGCGUGCCCUCGUCAGGCUGAGCCCACGCAUCCCACAAUGUCGCUUCUGCUGCCUUCUGUUGGUCCAAGAAAGUUCCAGGGCCGGCCCCCUAUUAAAAGGAGGGGAUAGACCCCACCUCUUGCUGGGGAGAGCAUCAGAGGCACGAUUGGAGAAGGGUGUGCACGCCGAAGGGACUGGUCAGCCAUGCCCUCUGUGCCCCGUGGCACCACUGGCACCGUGUGCAUUCUCCUUAUUUGUCUAUCUGUCUUGCCUCUACAAAAAUGGAAUGAAGGCAGGUCCUUCUGUGCGUCUUAUAUCUGUACCCCCUGCGCUUAGGGCAACACAAUUUUGUUGAAUCCGUGGUUGGGAGGCUGGCUCAGAAGUCAAACAGCCACUGUUUAAAUCAUAACUGUGCCUCUGUGUGCACUGUAAACUUGGAAAGAGUAAUUUGGCUCUCGGCCUCAGUUCUUCUCUCUGUAAAAUGGGGGAAGUAAUAGCAGUACCAAUUCCAUACAACUGAGGAGAGAAUAAAGAUGUAAUAGAACAAAUAAUUAACACAAUACAUGGCCUAUACCAAGCCCUCCAUAAAUGUCAGUAGUUGUACUGACUAGGAUUCCCCCCCGCCCCACUAUACCCAGAUUCCAUCCUUUUCCAUCUGCAUGCGGCCCUGACCACGGACACCCUCCUGAGCUAACCAUCCACCCCCCUUUCCUCCAGUGAAGGACAGACUCUGACCUUGACCUGCCCCGCAUCCUGGGGCAGGCUGCUGCCUCCCUCUCUGACCUCUCAAUACCCUCCACCCCGUGGGCCACCGUCCAUGACAACCUUGGGCAUUGAGCCAAGCUUUCCAGCCCAGGGCUCUCCUUGAAGCCGAUAAGCUGGAACUCCCCACAGUCAUAUCUGUGUUUUAUUUCAAUAACAGUAGUAAAUUGGAAAAUACCUAAAUGACAUUGGGUCUGUUCACUCAAGAACGUAAUAAUGUCAUAUUCUGCCUUAAUAUCAAUGGAAUUACCUGUGGUGGAAAGGGUAGACAGUUGUGUCAAUUUGUGACGGAGUUUGGUUCAGCAAACAUCCCUCUUCUCGUAAUUCUUCCAGACCACUUAGCCCUUCCCCUAGGGAUUACCAACCAUGCUGAGUCAGGGCUGGUUGGACAAAUGAACGCUAAGAGCCUUCAUUUUAAGGACACAUCUAUCUCUUUUCCAUCAUUCUUAGGCCAAGUCCCCAUGGUGGGAGGGAGUCAGGGAUUCUUCUCUACCCCUUGGCCCAGUCUUCCCACUCCAGAUCUUGUCCCAGGCCUCCAAGCCCCCCACCUCCUUCUUACACAGAGCCCAUCUGUUUGUGUCCCCCCCUCCCCCAAAUCCACAUGUUGGAAUCCUGAUGCCCAAGGUGCUAGUGUUAGGAGGUGGGGCCUUCUGGAGAUGAUUAGGUCAUGAGGAUGGGGCUUUCGUAGCUGGGAUUAGUGCCCUUAUAAAAGAGGCACCAUGUCUCACCCCCUCUGACAUAUGAGGAUACAGUGAAAACUCUGCAGCUUGGUAGUGGGCCCUCACCAACACUGAAUCUUCCAGCACCCUGAUUCCACAUGUCCAGCCUCCAGAACUGUGAGAAAUUAAUGUCUGUUUUUUUCAAGUCACCCAAUCUGUGGUAUUCAUUAUAGCUGCCUGACCAGACUUAGACACCAUCCAACAAGCAAAGGGAACCCACGUUUUCCUUAAAAGACAGUAUAGUUUCUCAAAAAUAAAGCAUCUCCUUUGGUCACAUAACCUGGCAGGCCCAUGGCAAGCCACAGUCCCUGGCAUGAGCACAUCUAUUCCUAUCAGAAACUACAUCCUGCAGCUCUGACAGAUUUUUGCAGAGAUCCAUGAUGGACCAUGGAACCUGUCAGCAGAGUCCAGGGCUGAGCCUGGGUCGGAGGUGUGGACUCAGGGUAGUAGAUUGAAUGGUGCCCCCCCUGCCAAAUUCAUGCCCAUGAGGAACCUCAGACUGUGACCACAUUUGGAAUAAGGGUCUUUGCAGAUGUAAUUAAGAAUUUCAUGAUGAGGUCAUCCUGAAUUAAGGGUGGGCCUUAAAUUCAAUGACUGGUGCCUUUAUAAGAAAAGGUGGGGGGGCACUUCCCUGGUGGUCCAGUGGUUAAGACUCUGCGCUUCCACUGCAGGGGACACGGGUUUGAACCUGGCUGGGGAACCAAGAUCCCGCAUGCCAUGCAGCGUGGCCAGAAAGUAAAAAUAAAUUAAAAAUUAAAAAAUAUAUAUAUAUAUAAGAAAAGGGGAAGGGACAGAGGGAAGGCAGCCAUUGGGUUGGGGAUGGGGCAGAGAUCAGAGGGAUGCAGCCGCAAGCCCAGGAAUGCCAGGAGCCACUAGGAGCUAGAGGAGGUGGGAAGGAUCUUCCCCUAGAGCUUUCAGAGGGAACACGGCCCUGCUAACACCUUGAUCUUAGAAUUCCAGGCUUCAGAACUACAAGAAUAAAUUUCUGUUGUUUCAAGCCCCCAGUUUGUGGUAAUUUGUUACAGCAGCACAGGACCAAAUACACCAGGUACUAUGAACUGAAUUGUGUUCCCUCAGAUUCAUAUGUUGCAGCCCUAAUCCCCAAUGUGACUGUAUUUGGAGAAAGGCCUUUUAGGAGUAAUAUGGUUAAAUGACGUCACAGGGGUGUGGUCCUAAUUUGAUACGACUGGUGGCCUUAUAAGAAGAGGAAGAGAUCUCUUUCUCUCCCUCUCCACGAGCACACAAAGAGAUCGUGUAGGCACACAGAGAGACGGUGGCCGCCUACAAACCAAGAGAGAAGGCCUCAGAAUGAAAGCUGCCUGCCAGCACCCUAAUCCUGGAUU